ACGCUCGACACCUACGGAGGCAGCAGUGGGGAAUAUUGCACAAUGGGGGAAACCCUGAUGCAGCGACGCCGCGUGGAGGAAGAAGGUCUUCGGAUUGUAAACUCCUGUUGUUGGGAAAAGAGGAUGGUACCCAACAAGGAAGUGACGGCUAACUACGUGCAGNCGCGAGUAUNGNGGCGNGNGAGAG
rnacentral:rRNA from 1 species